rnacentral:rRNA from 1 species
AUGGGGGGACCAUCCUCCAAGGCUAAAUACUCCUGACUGACCGAUAGUGAACCAGUACCGUGAGGGAAAGGCGAAAAGAACCCCGGCGAGGGGAGUGAAAAAGAACCUGAAACCGUGUACGUACAAGCAGUGGGAGCACGCUUAGGCGUGUGACUGCGUACCUUUUGUAUAAUGGGUCAGCGACUUAUAUUCUGUAGCAAGGUUAACCGAAUAGGGGAGCCGAAGGGAAACCGAGUCUUAACUGGGCGUUAAGUUGCAGGGUAUAGACCCGAAACCCGGUGAUCUAGCCAUGGGCAGGUUGAAGGUUGGGUAACACUAACUGGAGGACCGAACCGACUAAUGUUGAAAAAUUAGCGGAUGACUUGUGGCUGGGGGUGAAAGGCCAAUCAAACCGGGAGAUAGCUGGUUCUCCCCGAAAGCUAUUUAGGUAGCGCCUCGUGAAUUCAUCUCCGGGGGUAGAGCACUGUUUCGGCAAGGGGGUCAUCCCGA